rnacentral:rRNA from 1 species
UGGGGAAUUUUGGACAAUGGGGGAAACCCUGAUCCAGCCAUCCCGCGUGUGCGAUGAAGGCCUUCGGGUUGUAAAGCACUUUUUGCAGGAAAGAAACGUCAUGGGUUAAUACCCCGUGAAACUGACGGUACCUGCAGAAUAAGCACCGGCUAACUACGUGCCAGCAGCCGCGGUAAUACGUAGGGUGCAAGCGUUAAUCGGAAUUACUGGGCGUAAAGCGUGCGCAGGCGGUUCGGAAAGAAAGAUGUGAAAUCCCAGAGCUCAACUUUGGAACUGCAUUUUUAACUACCGGGCUAGAUUGUGUCAGAGGGAGGUGGAAUUCCGCGUGUAGCAGUGAAAUGCGUAGAUAUGCGGAGGAACACCGAUGGCGAAGGCAGCCUCCUGGGAUAACACUGACGCUCAUGCACGAAAGCGUGGGGAGCAAACAGG